rnacentral:rRNA from 1 species
AUUGAACGCUGGCGGCAGGCCUAACACAUGCAAGUCGAACGAGUGGCGGACGGGUGAGUACUGGAUGGGAAACUGCACGAUGGAGGGGGAUAACUACUGGAAAAGGUAGCUAAUAACGCAUAAGAUAGGAUGUGCCCAGAUGGGAUUAGCUAGUAGGUGGGGUAACGGCUCACAUAGGCGACGAACCCUAGCGGGUCUGAGAGGAUGACCAGCCACACUGGAACUGAUACACGGUCCAGACUCUUACGGUAGGCAGCAGUGGGGAAUCUUGCACAAUGGGCGCAAGCCUGAUGAAGCCAUGCCGCGUGUAUGAAGAAGGCCUUCGGGUUGUAAAGUACUUUCAGCGAGGAGGCGUUACUCGCAGAAGAAGCCCCGGCUAACUCCGUGCCAGCAGCCGCGGUAAUUC